CAAUCUUACUACUUCGUUUUGAGACGCCAUAGUGAAGGCUUAAUUUAGCCGGAAAGUCGAAAGUGAGUUAGAACUGUUUCACGACGGAGUUUAUUCUUAACAAUUACUGCUUGAAACAUCUGAGCGAUGGCAGGAAUUGAAAUACCUAAAGUAAUACAAGAACCUCAGAAUGCUUCUACAGAAAAUAGUAAUGAAAAUCCACGGGAACGGAAUCCUCCGGGCGAUAAUCGCAGUCCGCGUGGUCGAAGAGGAGGAACACGUUUUUCUGGUGGACGCGGUGGCGGAAUGAGCGGAGGAAACAGAUAUAGCGAUGGACCCGAUCGCGUAAUGGAGCGAAUUAUGAAUAUUAGUGGACCUACGCAUGAUUUGCCACCUCAAGAAACUACGGAAAAAAAAUUCAGUGGUCGUAACCGUCUGUAUAUUGGAAACUUGACAAAUGACGUUACAGAAGAAGAGAUCCAACAGAUGUUUCAACAAUAUGGUGAAACAUCUGAACUUUUUCUAAAUAAAGAGAAAAACUUUUCAUUUGUUAAAAUGGAUUACAGGGUAAAUGCUGAGAAAGCAAAACAUGAAUUGGAUCGCAAAAUGGUUAAAGGACGUGCACUUAAAGUUCGAUUUGCUCCUCUUGAUUCAACAAUUAAAGUUAAGAAUCUUACGCCUUGGAUUUCAAAUGAAUUGCUUGAAAAAGCAUUCAGUGUCUUUGGUGAAAUCGAACGUGCUAUAGUUAUAGUAGAUAAAAAGGGGAAGUCCAGUGGAGAAGGGAUUAUAGAAUUUUGCAAGAAGAACUCAGCUCAACUUGCUUUGCGGAAAUGCACAGAGGGAUGCUACCGUCUAACAGCGUCUCCAUUACCUGUGAUUGUUGAAUUAUUUGAACAGCAAGAUGAUAUAGAUGGUUAUCCAGACAAAACUUUACCUCGAACUACUGAAUUUUUUAAAGCUCGUGAAAUUGGUCCAAGAUUUGCAGAAGUAGGAAGUUUUGAAUAUGAGUACGGAACAAGAUGGAAACAACUUUAUGAAUUACGUAAACAAAAAAUAGAAGCAAUAGAAAGAGAAAUGGCAAUUGAGGAAGAAAAAUUGGAAGCUCAAAUGGAGUUUGAACGAUGCGAGUUCGAAACUAAACGCUUAAGAGAAGAAUUGCGUAUGCGUGAGGCUGAUCGUGAGAGGCAAAAAAGAGAAUGGGAAAUGAAAGAAAGACAGGCUGAAGAACAAAGAACACGCGAAGAAGAGUUACGAAGGCGACAGCAAGAAGAAAUGGCAAUGGCUAUUAGAAGACAAGAAGAGGAGCUGCAUAGGCGUCAACAGGAAAAUAAUUUAUUUUUGCAGGGACAAGCAAUGAGAGGAGGCGGAGGAAGUGGAAUAGUAGGGAAAAGUUAUGAUCCCAUUAGUAACGACCGCGAUGGAUUUGGACAACCUGAUGGUGGAAGCAACAUGCCAGUGGAUCCAAAGACAUUUAUGAAUGCUUAUAAUAAUAUGGAUCGUGGUAGUCGUGGGGUCUACAAUGAUGAUCGUAGUCAAAUGGAUUUGAGGGCCAAUAUGGGUGGUAAUAGGGGUGGUGGUCGUGGAAAUAGUGCUGGUGGACGUUGGCAAGGUGGAAAUGAUCGUAAUCGUCAGAAUGAUUAUCCUAAUAAAAGGAGACGCUAUUAAAAAUUGCAGAAUUAAAAUAAUUUCUGUUUCUUUGAUCGAUCGAGAAGAAUCGAUAGUUUGCAUUGGUAGGCUUCACUCAUUUUUUUCCAACAACGUUUGCGACUGAUCAUCUUUCUCACAUUUUAUAUCAUAGCAUAGCGUUUUGGGAUAAAAAUAGUAGCAUUAUAUCUUUACAAAAUUUUUUCUUUAAUUUCUUCUUAUUAUUUUGUCUUCAAACGUAAAAUCUAUGUCCGUUUUAUUGGAAAUGCUAGCAGCAAUAAAAGCUUAGUACAGAUUGUUGUCUUCGGGACGGUCGUCCAAAUUGUACAAUCUACGUUCUUCAUUGCUUUGGACGAAUCACUCCACGUUGUUUCAAAGGGUUGGAAUUCUCUGGGCCGAGAUAGUUUCUUAACAUUACUUCAAUAAGCAAAUCUAAAAUAUCUUAUCGACGAUGAGAAAACAGUGGAAAUCUCUGUUUUAGAAAUGUUACAUUACGUUAGAUCGGUCUGCCUUAUAUAGCGUACAGUCAUUUCUAAUGCUCUAACUUUACCCAUUUCUCGAAUUAAAAAAAAAAUCUUAAUACAAUGUUCUAUGAAUUUUUGAUAAAUUUUUCGAUUUUUUGAAAACGAUGAAGUGUAGAUUAAUUAUGAAUAUAUAAUCUAUUAUCUAAUUAUAAUAUAUUAUAUAAUUAUAAUAUAUUAUGAAGUGUAGUUAUUCUUUUACGAAUAUAAAUUUGCGAAUAUAAAGGAUAUUCGUUUUAAAAGAUACUAAUUUAUCAUCAAUUUGAUAUAUGUAUCGUCAAGUUGCGAAGAUUUUGGCAGAUAUUUUUUUUUGACUGAAUUGUAGAAAAGAAAUCAAUAUAUUGUUAGAAAUACAUUGAUUAGCAACACAAUCAUAUCAUUUUUAACGAUAAAGAAACAACUUGAGUUCCCAGUAACAUCGAUUUCUAAAGAAGAGAAUCGCAUAUAGUGGAAAGAUGAACCCUAGGUUGUCAAUAGUAGAACAGUGUUAUUUCAUAAAUUUUUGCCAUGAUAACAUAUAGAUAGUAAUGUAUAAUCUCAUAGGAUUUUACUUCAUGAAACAAUAUGUAAAUAUUACAAAUAAUGUAUAUCAACUUUUAUUGCUACUGUAUUGUCAUAGUAUAUACUAUAUAUCAUUCAUAGUUUGUCAUUUCAUUUAAUCCAAUAGAUUUCCAAAGUGAAAGUAUAUACUCUGAUCGUAUCUUUAGUUUUGUUCUUUAUGAUUAUAAAAAAAUAUGAAAUUAGCUUAUAAGCGAAAAGUGCGUUUAAUAUUGACUGAUACCAAUAUCAAAGUCAUUUGGUAACUUACCUUUUUAAGAACAAAUAAAAUUGUACAGGCGUAUAUAUGUGUCUGUAUCAAAGAUUGUUUGUUUUACCUUGUACAUUAUCUCUAUUCGUAUAUACGAACCACGCAAUCGUAUUACACGCAAUCGUACUACUUGUAGGUGAUAAUUAAGCGAAAGUAUUUUGACAUUGGUAUAUCUCUGUUAAAUUUCUCGAACUUAAAUGUGAGUUGUGAAUUUCCUAAAAGAAUAGGGACAUUAUAAUUAAAAUAGAAAAUAAUAACAGUAUUAUUUUUUGUCUUAAAUAGUGUUAUAAAAUAUAUCUCUUUCCAAAUGAAUUUUCUUUUUAUAAUUGUUUGAGAAUUCAUUUGAGAUAAAUGUUGAUCAUCAAAAGAUAGCAAAGUUUGUUAUAUGAAAAUGCCUGCCCCAUUCUGGCAAUAAAUUGACAUUUUCAUAUUGACAUUUUAAAUAAAGUUAUAGGCAAUUAAGCAUAAUGAAAAGUAUAUUUGCUUAGAGAGAAUUUAAAAAUCAUGGUGAAUGUAAUACAAAGGAACUCUCUAUUCUGUUUUUAUUAAAGAUCUAUUAUUUUUAAAUAUCGCCGUAUUUCUUUCAGGAAAUCUUCAACAUAAAUCUUUUAAUAAUGUGAGUUUAUAGUACAAAUUUUUAUUAUGAAAAUAUUUUGUAUUUUUUCUAUUCACUUUUUAUAUGAACUAUAAUAGUUGCCUUUCCUUCAGAAAAUUUUGUUUAAUUAAAGAUAUAAUAUGAAACAGAAAAAUAUAUUUUCAUAAAAUCUACUUUAAAUGACUUGCAUUAUUCUUUAACCAUAUUUUGUCUCUCUAUCUGAUCUUAAUCCUACAAUAUAACUAUUAUAUAAAUUGUGAUUGAAAAAUUUCCAAUCGUUUUUCAGUUCAUUUAUUAUUAUUGUAUUCUCGUAUUAUAAUAAUCGUUACUUUGUAAACAUUGCUAGCUGGACAUAACUUCGUUGCGUUGUUACUCGCCUAAUUACUUGUUAAUUACCCUGACGGCUGGGUUGUUAAUUUAGCCGUUGCUAACUAUCACGAACUAUUUCUGGUGUAGUAUCGUUAUGGUCCUUGUGAACAAUUUUCGGUACAGUACCAUUGUGCUGGCCUUGAACACCCUAUGUAUUCUUUUGGUCACUCGACCCAUUAAUGCCGCUGUUUCGAACACCAUUGUACUCUUUGUGGCCGUUCGACCCUUUAACAUUAUAUUAUCGUCAUUCAAGGGCGGUACUCUUCAGCUGUAAUAACUUUUUAUUGCUAUAUCUAAACAAUCAAACAGCACACCAUCUACGGAUUAUCUUCCUGAAUUGAGAGCACCGAAGAGAGAACAUUCAUGUACUCAUCGUUAGACAAUACUGCGUGUACGCGAUACGACGCUUUGAAUUCUGGCUAUUAAUUUCCAACUAUAUCCUGUCGCUGGCUCACUACUCGUUACUUGAACCGAUACUUUGGGUAUUGGCAGCUAUACUAAUGGGUAUUUCGUUCCUUCGAGCGUAUUCGCAGAGAUGAGAAAAAUGACCAGGCAAAGGAAUGCGGAUCUGAUCGCUUACUUCUGACAGACCCGGUAUAAUCAAAGAUAAGCACGUGUAUUGACUGCAAGAAUCACAUAUAUAAAUAUAGCAACGGAUAACGGCGAGCGAUAGAGAACAGUACAUAUUUGUAUGUAUUUUCCUUGCUCCUAUUUUGUCCUGUUAACCAUUUCUUCACCUCUGCAUUUAUACUUUUGCCGGAUUCAAACACGGAGAUUAUUUGUUCGUCUCCGAGGAUGAAGGGCGAGAGGACAUUACGAUAAUGGACGACGAUCCCUCCACACUAGCUGCUUCAAUCGUACAUACGUCUUUACGCUUGUCAGCGGAGCUCGAACUUGAUGUCAAUGAUAACCGAUCUUUGUCUUCUCUUAUCACGCGGUUUAUGUGAUUUGUAACAGUGCCCACUGUAUUAUCACUAUCUCUUAUUACACAGACAUUACGUGUUUUUAUUAAAUAUUAAGUAUAACUGGUACUCGCGACAAAACGUCGUUUGUCUCGCUUCUAAGUUCUGACGAAAUAGAGAAUAUGAAUGUGUAAACUCGAACGCGUGGAAUCGCCGAGCGAAAGGAAUUCUUUUUCAGAGAAUGAAUGAAAUUCUUUUCUGCUCCAAAUGGAGCAGAGCCUCAAUGUCGACGCUCGCAGCGUAGAUCAGGGCACGCGUUUCAGACGAUCAUCAAACGAGAGAUACAUUGUAAAGUCUACAAUGUAUCUAUAUUUCUGACAGAAGAGAGUCUGCAAUUACAAGAUAGGCUUGCGUACUUGAAACUACUGGUACGAGGCGCUUAUAGCAGUUCCUGGCUGAGGAAAUGAAUAAAACGUAUUGAGAAACGAAAAGUAAAUUUGCACAAAAAUCAUUACGUAUCCUUAAAAAUCAAGCAAGAAAUCAUAUAAAAUAUAACGAUGAAAUAUUAAUCUCAAUGUACCGAUUAUACAAAAUUUGAGACUUGGGAUUAUAUGUAAUUUCUAUUUACAGAUUUUUGAUUGCAUCUGUUAGUACGCAUCCCGUAGUAUUCGACAUACAAACGAAAGAUAUGCGUGUAAAAGAAGCUUAAGAUCAUAAGGAGGAAAAUCUACGCGUUAAAAGUCGUUUUAUUUAUUGACACCAUGAUGGACGCUUCAUUUUCCGGAGGCAGUUGAGCGAGCAAUGGCAAGAGCACAGCAGUGAUGGUUAUUUAGAUUACAAUGUUUUAGAUUGUAUGACUUUUAAUAUAGUUUCUUCAAAAACUGCA